GGAGAAAUGGCAGAGCGGUCGAAUGCGGCGGUCUUGAAAACCGUUGUUCUUUAUCCAAGGAACCGGGGGUUCGAAUCCCUCUUUCUCCGCCA
rnacentral:tRNA from 1 species